rnacentral:siRNA from 1 species
GUUGCUUUUAAUUGAAUAUAGACA